rnacentral:misc_RNA from 1 species
GUGAAUCAUCAAAUUUUUGAACGCAAAUUGCACUGUCUGGUAUUCCGGACAGUAUGCCUGUUUGAGGGUCAGUUAAAUAUAAAUCGGGGUUGUUGAUGCUUUUCGUGGUGACGCGUCGGAAUGGGGUUUGCUUACUGUUGGUUAAGUGACUUAGAAUUGUGCAUGAUUGUCGGAGGUAUGUAAUUUUCUUUCGUAAGUUUUAGAUAUCGAAUAGUUU